UACGUAGGGUGCGAGCGUUAAUCGGAAUUACUGGGCGUAAAGCGUGCGCAGGCGGUUUUGUAAGCCAGAUGUGAAAUCUCCGGGCUUAACUCGGAACGGUCAGAUGAUACUGCUUUGCUAGAGUGCGGAAGGGGCAAUCGGAAUUCUCGGUGUAGCGGUGAAAUGCGUAGAUAUCGAGAGGAACACCAGAGGUGAAGACGGGUUGCUGGGCCGACACUGACGCUGAAGCGCGAAAGCCAGGGGAGCAAACGGG
rnacentral:rRNA from 1 species